UGGACGUCUCGUCUGCGGCGGUAGAGGACGAUGAGUGGACGUCUCGUCUGCGGCGGUAGAGGACGAUGAGUGGACGUCUCGUCUGCGGCGGUAGAGGACGAUGAGUGGACGUCUCGUCUGCGGCGGUUUGGCUCUGAAGCUGGAAACACACCUGCUCCUAGUCAGAAGAAAUGGUUGGAUCUGUUUUAUAAGAGUGAGAAAUGUCCAGUGCAGGUCCACGACCAGUCGAAACUUUCCGGUGGACCACAGAAACGUCUUUGUGGAUUCCACCCUCCUAAAGUGUUCAUUUCAGACUUUCAGGUCGUAAGUGUUCCACCUGCUUUACUCCACUCCUACUGCUGUAGCGCC